rnacentral:lncRNA from 1 species
CGGUAUAUCUAUGUUGGUGGAAGGCCGACGAUGGCAAUGAAACCCCCCUAAGUUGAAGCCACGCCCCUUCCGCAGCCAGCUCUCGAGCAAGGCGACUAGCUAACUUGCCGACUUGGCUCCGGUUAAGAAAGGCAAAACGCCAACGCGACUAACGUCGCAUUUGCAACAUACCGACCAAGUCAUGACCGGUCGAAGGGUACUCGACUUACCACCGUUUAUCACACGUCACGACGCAUACGCCCGAUAAAGAAUCGGGCAAUGGAUGACCGACUUAUCAUCGACCAAACGUGUCGGGCAUUAUUCGACUAUUGGACUCUACGGG